AAAGUACUUUCUCCGUUCAAAAAUACUUGUCAGAGUAAUGGAUGCAUUUAGAUGUAUUUUAGUUCUAUAUACAUCUAAUUUUAUUCAUUUCUUGGACAAGUAUUUCCAAUCAGAGGGAGUAUAUG
rfam:Hordeum vulgare subsp. vulgare, WGS project CAJW01000000 data, contig: morex_contig_135468